UGAUAUGUCAAAAUACAUUCUGCUGUCAUGUAUAACUAAAAAAAACAAAUGAAAAAAAUAAUUUAAAAUAACAGCCAUUGAGCACUCACCAUAUGCCACCACACUGUUCUAACAUUUUCCUUUACCACAUUAUCUUAUUUCACUUCCAGAACCCAGUAAAAUAAUGUUAUUAUCCCCAUUUCAGAGGGAAAGAAAACCAAAGCACAGAGAGGUUAUGUAACCAAGGUCGCUCAGCUACUCAGCAGUGGGGCUAGGAUAAGAACUCAGGCAGGCUGAGCUCAGGGGGACCCCAGGGAUGGAAUUCUGGCACCCUCUACAUUUCCAUUGGAUUUUGGUUCAUUCUUCUCCAAAAGUAAAACAUGCACACACACUAAGAAGUCAGCUUCCCCGAAAUGCUGCAGGUAUCUAACUAACCACUUCUUUUCUUCUCUCUUUAGAAAACUUAAUAGAUCAUUGCGUCCAUUUGGGGACUUCCUAGAAAUAACUGGAGACUGGGCACUGCCCCCUUCCCUCUGGGUCCUAGGCCCAUUGCUGCCCCAGGUUAGAAUGGAGGGACUCUGUCUUGGGAAUGUGUGUUGUCCCCCGGACAUGCUGCCAUAUUGUGAGGAAGCUAAAGCUACAUGGAAAGGCCACAUACUGACAUUCUGGUCACAAGGCCCACCCAACAGCCUGUACAAACCACCAGAUGCAUACGAGAUGCGUCAGAUGAUUCAAAUGAUUCCAGCCCCUAGAAGUUGAGCCAACUUCUGCUUUGGAACCUUCUAGCAGAGGCCCAAGCAUCAUGGAACAGAGAAAAGAGGAAGAACAUCAAGAAUGGAGGUUCUGGCAGCUGUCAAACCUCAGAUGCAGGAAAGAUCUGGAGUGGCCAAAGAUGUUCUGAAGAUCUGAUGGUGAAGCUGGGGAAAGCCCCACUUCUGGACCCCCCUGCCCUGUACCCUCCCUGGACAGGAAAAUUGAAGAACCUCAAGGCUGAAAAUGCCGGGUUCCAGGCACCUUUUCAGACCCUCAAAAUUCUCAGAAGAGAAAAGGAGGAAGGACGAGAGCCCAAGUAUUGCUCCUUGCUACCCAGAAAGGUCAAGAGAAAGAAGGCCUGGCUCUCCCUAAC